rnacentral:rRNA from 1 species
AUUGAACGCUGGCGGCAGGCCUAACACAUGCAAGUCGAGCGAGCGGCGGACGGGGGAGUGAAGUCUGGGAGACUGCCUGUUGGGGGGGGGGAACACCUGGAAACGCUGGCUAAUACCGCAUACCAUCAGAUGUGCCCCGAUGGGAUUAGCUAGUAGGUGGGGUAACGGCUCACCUAGGCGACGAUCCCUAGCUGGUCUGAGAGGAUGACCAGCCACACUGGAACUGAGACACGGUCCAGACUCCUACGGGAGGCAGCAGUGGGGAAUAUUGCACAAUGGGCGCAAGCCUGAUGCAGCCAUGCCGCGUGUAUGAAGAAGGCCUUCGGGUUGUAAAGUACUUUCAGCGGGGAGGCGUUACCCGCAGAAGAAGCACCGGCUAACUCCGUGCCAGCAGCCGCGGUAAUAC